rnacentral:lncRNA from 1 species
UAAGAGAUGAGAAUGAAUGCACAGCUAAAAUCAAAGCUGGCGUGCCUCCUUUGUCUCUUCUUCAGUGACAAGCCUGAAGACCGUGAGUUAAGAUCAUAGAGCCACAGACCAGAAGCAGCCUGCAUCCCUGAAUCCCAGUACGGAAUAAAGUGUCACCUGAACUGCUUCAGACUUUGUGGGAAUGAGAAACAAACCUUCCUUUUCCACUGCAGUCCACUCUUAUAAUCUGAAGAGGCUCCUAUGAUCAGAGUCAAAG